UGACGGCGGUCUCCGGAGUCGCUGACCGGCUUUGGUGAAAGUGCAUUUGAGCCCUUUUCCCUGUGACGACCGUGCGCUCUCUCC